rnacentral:tRNA from 1 species
GCAGGGAUGGUGUAACGGCUAGCAUUUUGGUCUCCAAAACCGACGAUCUCGGUUCGAAUCCGAGUCCCUGUG